UACGUAGGGUGCGAGCGUUGUCCGGAAUUAUUGGGCGUAAAGAGCUCGUAGGCGGUGUGUCACGUCGGCCGUGAAAACCUGCAGCUUAACUGUGGGCGUGCGGUCGAUACGGGCAUCACUGGAGUUCGGCAGGGGAGACUGGAAUUCCUGGUGUAGCGGUGAAAUACGCAGAUAUCAGGAGGAACACCGGUGGCGAAGGCGGGUCUCUGGGCCGAUACUGACGCUGAGGAGCGAAAGCGUGGGGAGCAAACAGG
rnacentral:rRNA from 1 species